UGGGGAAUAUUGGACAAUGGGCGCAAGCCUGAUCCAGCCAUGCCGCGUGAGUGAUGAAGGCCUUAGGGUUGUAAAGCUCUUUCGCCGACGAAGAUAAUGACGGUAGUCGGAGAAGAAGCCCCGGCUAACUUCGUGCCAGCAGCCGCGGUAAUACGAAGGGGGCUAGCGUUGUUCGGAAUCACUGGGCGUAAAGCGCACGUAGGCGGAUUGUUAAGUCAGGGGUGAAAGCCUGGAGCUCAACUCCAGAACUGCCCUUGAUACUGGCAAUCUCGAGUCCGGAAGAGGUAAGUGGAACUGCGAGUGUAGAGGUGGAAUUCGUAGAUAUUCGCAAGAACACCAGUGGCGAAGGCGGCUUACUGGUCCGGUACUGACGCUGAGGUGCGAAAGCGUGGGGAGCAAAACAGGAUUAGAUACCCUGGUAGUCCACGCCGUAAACGAUGGAGGCUAGCCGUUGGCGAGCAUGCUCGUCAGUGGCGCAGCUAACGCAUUAAGCCUCCCGCCUGGGGAGUACGGUCGCAAGAUU
rnacentral:rRNA from 1 species